CCCCCAGACUCCAUCCCGGCCAGCCGUGGCGCACUAACCCCUUCAGGCUGUGUUCACUCCGCCAACCCCACUCCUCUCCCUGGGAUGCGACUUCCAAAGCCCGAGCCUCAGCUCCCAGCCCCCGCCCGCCCCGGCGGGUGAGCAGACAAGCCUCUCGGACUGUUUCAUGCCAUUGUGAUGAGAAAAGAUGCUUGAAGUAAUUUUUGACGUGUUUCUAUGCAAAGUUCAAAGGGGUGACUGGAGAUGGAAAAGAAAGGACAGGGACCAACAACAGAAUAGAACUGGAGAAGCAGAAGUCUUCCUCAGGGACUUCCCUGGUGGUCCAGUGGUAAAGAAUCCGCC